CUGCGCGCCCCAGCAAUCUAAGCAGAUGGCCGCACUGUCGGGAACAUCUGGAGGUCGCCGGAGUACGUGCCUGUGUAUGUGUAUGUGUGUGUAUGACUGUGUGUGUGGAAAGAGAGAGGGAAUUAGUUGCUAGUAAGAAAGAGAUUUGGUGGGUGGGUGAGGGCUUCCUCUUUGCUUGUUCACCGCCCCUCCCCAUUUUUUUUUAAAGAGUGAAAGAGGUUCAGGGACUACCGGGAGCAAGAAACCAAGAAUCUGAAGCAGAGAAAGACUGGCUGAAAGACGAACCCACAGAGAAGAGAGAGCCCGGCUCGGGCAGAAAAGCUGGCAGGAGAGGAGAGAGAAAGUCAACAGAUUGAGUUUUUCUUUUAGGAGGAAACCAUUGGCUUCUGGUUAGAGUUCUAAGAAGGGAAACUGGCGUGGGAAGAUGUCACCGUGACCCAGAAGCCUCUUGACUAGGUCGAGCGUU
rnacentral:lncRNA from 10 species